rnacentral:rRNA from 1 species
GAUGAACGCUGGCGGCGUGCCUAAUACAUGCAAGUCGAGCGAACGGACGAGAAGCUUGCUUCUCUGAUGUUAGCGGCGGACGGGUGAGUAACACGUGGAUAACCUACCUAUAAGACUGGGAUAACUUCGGGAAACCGGAGCUAAUACCGGAUAAUAUUUUGAACCGCAUGGUUCAAAAGUGAAAGACGGUCUUGCUGUCACUUAUAGAUGGAUCCGCGCUGCAUUAGCUAGUUGGUAAGGUAACGGCUUACCAAGGCAACGAUGCAUAGCCGACCUGAGAGGUUGAUCGGCCACACUGGAACUGAGACACGGUCCAGACUCCUACGGGAGGCAGCAGUAGGGAAUCUUCCGCAAUGGGCGAAAGCCUGACGGAGCAACGCCGCGUGAGUGAUGAAGGUCUUCGGAUCGUAAAACUCUGUUAUUAGGGAAGAACAUAUGUGUAAGUAACUGUGCACAUCUUGACGGUACCUAAUCAGAAAGCCACGGCUAACUACGU